rnacentral:rRNA from 1 species
CCUACGGGCGGCAGCAGUGAGGAAUAUUGGUCAAUGGACGAGAGUCUGAACCAGCCAAGUAGCGUGAAGGAUGACUGCCCUAUGGGUUGUAAACUUCUUUUAUAAGGGAAUAAAACGAGGCACGUGUGCCUUUUUGCAUGUACUGUAUGAAUAAGGGUCGGCUAACUCCGUGCCAGCAGCCGCGGUAAUACGGAGGAUCCGAGCGUUAUCCGGAUUGAGUGGGUUUAAAGGGAGCGUAGAUGGGAUGUUAAGUCAGUUGUGAAAGUUUGCGGCUCAACCGGAAAAUUGCAAUUGAUACUGGCAGUCUUGAGUACAGUUGAGGUAGGCGGAAUUCGUGGUGUAGCAGUGAAAUGCUUAGAUAUCACGAAGAACCCCGAUGGCGAAGGCAGCUUACUAAACUGUGACUGACAUUGAUGCGCGAAAGUGUGGGUAUCAAACAGGAUUAGAUACCCCUGUAGUC